AAGCGGAGGAAAAGAAACUAACAAGGAUUCCCCUAGUAGCGGCGAGCGAAGCGGGAAAAGCUCAAAUUUGUAAUCUGGCGUCUACGACGUCCGAGUUGUAAUCUCGAGAAGUGUUUUCCGUGAUAGACCGCAUACAAGUCUCUUGGAACAGAGCGUCAUAGUGGUGAGAACCCAGUACACGAUGCGGAUGCCUAUUACUUUGUGAUACACUUUCGAAGAGUCGAGUUGUUUGGGAAUGCAGCUCAAAUUGGGUGGUAAAUUCCAUCUAAAGCUAAAUAUUGGCGAGAGACCGAUAGCGAACAAGUACCGUGAGGGAAAGAUGAAAAGCACUUUGGAAAGAGAGUUAACAGUACGUGAAAUUGUUGGAAGGGAAACACAUGCAGCCAGACUUGCUAUUCGGGGCAACUCGAUUGGCAGGCCCGCAUCAGUUUUUCGGGGCGGAAAAGCAUAGAGAGAAGGUAGCAAUUUCGGUUGUGUUAUAGCUCUUUAUUGGAUUCGCCCUGGGGGACUGAGGAACGCAGCGUGCUUUUAGCAUAAGCUUCGGCUUAUCCACGCUUAGGAUGCGGGUGUAAUGGCUGUAUAUGACCCGUCUUGAAACACGGACCAAGGAGUCUAACAUGCUUGCGAGUAUUUGGGUGUCAAACCCGGAUGCGCAAUGAAAGUGAAUGGAGGUGGGAAGCGCAAGCUGCACCAUCGACCGAUCUGGAUCUUUUGAGAUGGAUUUGAGUAAGAGCAAGUAUGUUGGGACCCGAAAGAUGGUGAACUAUGCCUGAAUAGGGCGAAGCCAGAGGAAACUCUGGUGGAGGCUCGUAGCGGUUCUGACGUGCAAAUCGAUCGUCAAAUUUGGGUAUAGGGGCGAAAGACUAAUCGAACCAUC
rnacentral:rRNA from 1 species